UAUCUCUGUAGAGUCUGCAUAUCAAUAAGCGGAGGAAAAGAAACUAACUAGGAUUCCCUCAGUAACGGCGAGUGAAGCGGGAAGAGCUCAAAUUUGAAAUCUUCAAGGUUCUACCUUGACGAAUUGUAGUUUAAAGGAAGUGUUUUCUGUUGAAGUUUUGGUAAAAGUUCUUUGGAAUAGGACAUCAUAGAGGGUGAGAAUCCCGUAUUUGACCAUUACUUCCAGCGUUGUGAUACACUUUCAAAGAGUCGGAUUGUUUGGGAAUGCAGUCCAAAAUGGGUGGUAAAUUUCAUCUAAAGCUAAAUAUUGGCGAGAGACCGAUAGCGAACAAGUACCGUGAGGGAAAGAUGAAAAGAACUUUGAAAAGAGAGUUAAACAGUACGUGAAAUUGUCAAAAGGGAAGCGUUUGACACCAGUGUUGUUUUCUCGAAAAUCAAUUAAAAAUGGCUUGAUUUUGUGUUGUAUUGACCUUAAAAGCUUUCUUCACUUUUUUCAUGUCUUUUUUAAUGCACUUUUCGUUUAACAAGUCAACAUCAAGUUUCUUUUGUUGUAAAAGGGUCAUUGGAAGGUGGCUUUCUUUUCGGAGAAAGUGUUUAUAGCCUUUGACUUCUGCAAUCGGAGAGAUUGAGGUCUGCAGCGUAGAUCCUUCGGGGUUAGAUGCAUUUGUGCUAAGUUAUAGCCUUUCAUAGACAACUUGUUGACUAUGAUCAGUCAUGUAGCUUACUCGCUUAUGUCAUUUUACCUACGCUUAGGAUGUUGAUCUCUCACAGUCGAGC
rnacentral:rRNA from 1 species